CUCAGGAUGAACGCUGGCGGCAGGCUUAAUACAUGCAAGUCGAACGGUAACAGAGCUAGCAAUAGCUGCUGACGAGUGGCGGAUGGGUGCGUAACGCGUAUGCAACCUACCUGUAAUUGGAACAUAACGUUGAGAAAUUAGCGCUAAUAUUCCAUGUGGAUAUGAGACGGCAUCGUUUUAUAUUUAAAGAUUAAUUGAUUACAGAUGGGCAUGACGUAUCAUUAGCUAGUUGGUAAGGUAACGGCUCACCAAGGCAACGAUGAUUAGGGGUUCUGAGAGGAUAUCCCCCCACACUGGAACUGAGACACGGUCCAGACUCCUACGGGAGGCAGCAGUAGGGAAUAUUGGGCAAUGGAGGCAACUCUGACCCAGCCAAUGCCGCGUGAAGGAAUACAGCCCUACGGGUUUUAAACUUCUUUUAUUAUAGAGUAACCGGAGGUACGUGUACCUCCCUGCAAGUAUAUAAUGAAUAAGGAUCGGCUAACUCCGUGCCAGCAGCCGC
rnacentral:rRNA from 1 species